UACGUAGGGUGCAAGCGUUAAUCGGAAUUACUGGGCGUAAAGCGUGCGCAGGCGGUUUUGUAAGACUGUCGUGAAAUCCCCCGGGCUCAACCUGGGAAUGGCGAUGAAGACUGCAAGGCUAGAAUCUGGCAGAGGGGGGGUAGAAUUCCACGUGUAGCAGUGAAAUGCGUAGAGAUGUGGAGGAACACCGAUGGCGAAGGCAGCCCCCCUGGGUCAAGAUUGACGCUCAUGCACGAA
rnacentral:rRNA from 1 species